UCGCUUUCAUUCUGGUAAUUAUAACUAGCAAUUGUUUUUCCUCUGGUCUAUGUUUUGACCUACUUACCAUAUUACAACAGAAGCUUCAAGAAAACUAGGACCAUGACUUUGCUGUUCAAAAUUAUACUUCUAGAAUAAAAAUUAGCAAUCAAUCUCUCUCUCUGUAUAUAUAUAUAAUAUAUAUAUAUAUGAAAAAAUGAAAGAUAAUGAGAAAACAGCUACACUACAGUUUCUUUUGAGGCUGUUAUAUUUUUCUCACCGACCACAUUUAGUGCUAGUCAAAGAUUCUGGUUUAUAACAGAAUUCAGAAGUCACUAUGUACCUGUGGAUUUCAGACAGAACUUACUUACCAUAGGACUCACCUUCCAGUUCAAGUGACUAGGCUUAUGGAUAUUUGAGAAGGUCUAGAUUUUAUUUUUAACUGAUGAUUAUACACAGAUGCCAACACAGUAGAAUUCUGAGAAGAUUUCAAGAACUUGAGGACACAGAGAUCAGAAAGCAGAGGUAUUUGUCUAAGAGAUUAUAUUCAUUGAAAUACACAUUUUUGCAUCAAAAUCCCUUCUCAGAAUGUUACGCUGUCACCUGCAGGAAAGCCUGAGCAGAUAAGAUGGCUUCCGCACCUGGAGGAAAUGGGAAUUUCCAGCCAGACGGGAAGAAAAUGAUUCAAGUAGAAGUAGACCCUUGUGGGAAGCCAGGUUGUAAUGAGGAGUUGCUGUUGAAUAUGGAAUCAAGAUUAAGCACACAAAACGACUGAAGUUUUAAUGGCAUCUAGCAAAAAUUACCAGAAUACUCAAGAUGUCAACUGGUGUCCUGUUUUGAUUCAAGAUUCCAUGUGGUUAGCUCUCAUACUGGGUUCAAGUACACUGCCUGAUUGAACCAUCCUCUUCUAACUCAGAAAUGGGAACAUGAGUAAA